rnacentral:lncRNA from 1 species
GGUCCUAAAACCCGCCGGGUGCAAACCGCGGGACUCACAAAGGCGAGGGAAGCUGCGUUUUCCGGGCAGGGGGGAGAGGGAUUUGUAGGCUUUCGCUUUCUGUUCCUUUUGAACUCUGGAAAUGAAAUCCUUCUUCGGCAACGUGAGAAGGGCUGAAGCGGAAGCCUGUGCAGUCUGGAGGUUGCUCAAAUGGGUAGUCCCUUAGGUUCUCUCUCUCUCUUUUUUUUUUUUUGGCUUUCGGGUGUCACCGGACUCUUCGUCGAUUUUGCUGUAGUAAACUCACCGGUCUCUUCUUUCGAGACAAAUCAUGCGACAGGCGAAGGAAUAAGCGAGUCCCUCUACUAGGAGGGCUGGACUGCAGUCCGGGCAAGCCUCUUCCCUACUUUUAAGGCGCCACAGGCUUUAUUACGGUGUUGCUAGCCUGCUUGCUACGCUUUUUGGCUGAAAAGGGCUGAGGAGUCCCUGGCCGGGGACUCCCAAGAGUGGAGGAGCCGUGACACAACGAAUGAGAUGGAGGAUAAGCAGUUGUUGACAACUUUCUGCGGGGGCUUGUGUGUGUAGGCGUCCUUCAGUCUCGAGAGACUAUGGCCAGAAUCAUAUUGGAUAUUUUCCUGUUCAUCACACAGGGGCAUCUGGAAAUCAAGUCCUGUAGAGAAAGACUGAAAGAAUUGAGCAUGUUUAGUCUUCAGAAAAGAAGACGGGAGAUACGACAGCAUUUUUCAAAUACAGUCGUGCCCCACUUAACGAUUACCCUGCAUUACAAUGAAUCCGCUUUAUGACAAUGUUUUUGCGAUCGCAAAACGAUGGUCUAAAUGGGGGAAUUUCGCAUAGCGAUGAUCGGUUCCCUGCUUCGGGAACCGAUUUUCGCUUUAGGAUGAUCAAAAACAGCUGAUCGUCGGGUUUUCAAAAUAGCCACUGGGUGCUUUAAAUGGCUCCCUGCUGUGCUUAGGGACGGAUUCCUUGCUAUACAGGCACCGAAAAUGUCCGUCGUAUGGAGGAUAUUU